UCCGCUGAAGUCUCUCCACAGAUCGAUCCGCACGCAUACGUACCCUUGCCCAUUCAGCAGCGACGGGGAAGCAGCGAUGUUCUCGAAUGAGCAACUGAUCGGCCCCGACUUCGAUGAGGUAGCGUACCUGCGUUAUGCUCUUCGUGCCGCCAACCACAGUGCCGAACACGCACGGCUGGAGAGCUGCAUCGCUGAGGUGAAGAGGGAUAUACAGUCCGCUCUCGCCGAACAUGCAGACAGUCUCAUCGAUCAAGCGAGAUGCACCUAUAAGACACAGCGCGAGGUGACGGCGGUGCGUCAGAGCACGGAUUCGUUGCAGAAGGCAUCUGGGCGGCUUCGCAUUAUGAUCGAGGAGCCUUACAUGCAGCUCCAAAGCCGUGUAAAAGAGUUGGAGGCAACGCAGGAGGUGAUACAGCUGCUCCAGUCAACGCUGCGCUUCCUCUCUCUGACAGCAAGACUACAGGAACAGCUCGCUACCACUUCCUCCGUUGAUAUCGUGCGCUCCUCGUACACGCUGAAGGAGCUGGAGGAGGUUCUUCAGGAUGGCGCGAUUCGGUCCCUACAGGUGGUCGAGGCGCAGCUGCCGGCGGUGGAGCGGCACGCAACGACGAUACGGAGCAAGGCGCACGAGCUGCUUGCCAUGACGGAGCUAACAGCGCCACCGAGCGGCAACGGCGGCACCGGCAGCGCUGCUGCUGUGACGCCCGCGACUGCUUCGACGUCUCGCCUCGCACUUCAGGUGAGCACAGGGUUGCAGUGCGCGCAUGUAUUGCGCAUGCUCUCUCGCACCGUGCAGAGCUUCAUGACAGAGCGGCGUCGUGAGGUGCUGCGCACCAUCAUGCGGGAGCUUGAUGCACAGGCCAUCGAGGAGCACAUCUCCAGCGAGUACGAUCGUCUUUCCCGCUCUUCGCUCAGCGGACAUAGUGGUGCGAUGUCGGAGCAGACGGUGACGGCACAUGCCGUGCUGCAACACAUCCAGAAGACUCUCUUUAUCGCCGUGCAGCACACCCGAUGCGUCAUUUUGCUGUGGCGCGUGCUGCUUCAGCGACGUGACACGCAGACUCAAGAGCUUUACCUGUUCUCCAUUGACUCACCGGUGCAGCUCCUUGUGGAGUACUGGUCCACGAUCACCGAAAAGCUGCGGGAGCGGCUGAAUAGCUUGCAGAAGCGGCACGCCAUUCGACUUGCCCUGGCGAGUGCUUACCCGCGUUACCACCAUUUGGUUGCCAGCUUCCUCAGUCGCACUGACGUAGCGAGUGUGGCAGAGGGCCCGCUGAGUACCGGCGCGCCAGGUGGCGCUGCCACUGAUUCCUUAGGGUCCGCGGUGACGGGUGCGGCUGGCACAGCCGCGGCUCUGCUCUCGAUCCACGUCACGCAAUGCGGCAUGGGCGACUACCUCGACUUGAUCGACACCGUGGACGCUGCAGUGCGGCGCGGCGUUGCAGGCAAUGGAGGAGAGGGUACUCCCUUCAAGACACCUGACAAGUCACCUUCGGCGCACAUAGGCACUGCGACUCCACCACGUACAGACACGCAGGACAUGCGGCACACGUGGCUGGCACAGGUAACCGACGAGGCACGGGGCGCCUUCAGGACGCAUGUGCUGGACCGUCAUCGCGAGGUCAUUGGCGGUGUCUUCUUACGCCUCUCAGCUGCCGUUCCGCCCUCUGCGGCAGCGGCCGGGCAAACCGCCACUGUUGCGCCGGUGCGCAUGCAGGGCGGUCGCCGGCCGUCUAUUCCCCCUCAGGCCAACACGCUGGACAUGGCGGUCUACACGCGUUUGGUCACGCAGGAGGUGCAGAUGUUCCGCCAGGAUCCGCACACCCUGGAUGUGUUGCUAGACUGCGUCUUUUCCACUCUGCGCCAGGUUCGGGCCAAGCUGACUGAGGCGAUUAAGAGAUACCCGCUUCCGCCGCUUCCGGCGGUGACGGCUGCGCCGACGCUGACGCAGGUGAUGCACCUCUCUAUCGCCAACGGCUGCACCACUCUUGCGUACGACUGCGCAGCUGUCCUCGCGAUGGUUCCUCACCCGUCUGCUUCACAGACGGCUGGCGGCGGCGCUGGGGCGGGGGGUGCCGCGGCCGCCUCCAAUGCCACCAGCGGGGCUCACCGGCACGCUCACCAGGACCCCUACGCGCUGGUGCUGGAGCAGCUGGGCACGAAGCGCAUGGAGCUACAGCAGCUCAUCGAUACAUUCCACAACAUGAGCGAGCGGUCAACGAAGCCGUUUGCGGACUCAGCUGCGUCGGUGCUGCUCCCAACGCUGACGCAGGCUGUCGACAACGUGCUGCGUAACGAGCUGGCACUGUCGUCUGCUGCUGCGGCGACGGCAGCGAGUGAAGGGAGAGCGCAAGCGAAUCCGGCGAUGCCGCUGGGCGGCAGCGGGGGUGGGGACAGCCGCACGGCUCUUGUGCAGCUCCAGUCGCAGUGCCGCCAGUUCACGGAUCGCUUCUUCUUCCUGGUCGACGCGCGCACGUCGGGCUGGAUGGAAGCCUGCCAGCAUGUUACGAACACGAUGCUGGCGCGGCUGUUGAUUCGGCUUGCCACAACGCCGCCACCGGCAACACUGCGCGGUACGCCACUCGCCACCGCACCUGCGUACGCGCAAACGCUGCAGGUGAUGGUGCCCCCGCUGCUUCAGUUCGUGCAAAUGGUCCAGUCUGCCGGGACGGGAGGACGUAUAACCUCCCUCCUGCGCGGCUGCGUGCGCCAAGUGGAGUUGUUUUACGAAACCUGUGGCGGGCUGGGCGGUUCCGGCAGUGGGGACGGCGCAUCGGCCGCGGCAGCGCUCCGGGCUGCGGUGAUGGAGCGGCUUCGACCGCCAAUCCCGCUCUUCUUUGCGAAGUUACUGGUGCUGCAGUACGGCCUCUUUACCACGCCUGCCUCGGCACCGUCGGAGAACUCGCAAGGCGCUGUCGGCCCGUCUGCCCUCGCUGGCGCACUGCAGUUGUCGGAACAGGGCUUGCUGGAGUGCUUGGAAGGGGUGUUGCUUACAGAGAGCUCGGCGAGAGUCGCUGCCACCUCCUCAAAUAUGGAGGGAGGUGGGACUCCGGCUGCUGGCGCCACUGGAGCCGAUCGAAAGGGGGAGGUGCUGUCGGCGUUAGAUGCGCUUUUUCUUGAAGUUGUCGCCGCAGCACCAAGCGAGUCGGCGGCUUGCCUGCAAGAACUAUGGGCGUCGGUUCAAGAGAAAUGAAGUAUUGCUGCUUCAGUGCCGCCCUUUCGUGGGCUUUACCUUAUUCUGUGGGCGCGCGUGUGUGCGAAGUCCCUGCCACACUCGUACGGCGCGUAGAGCUUCUCGUGGCUGCUGUGUGCCUGCCUGAUAGUGUAGAGUUGUGCGCAUGCGUGCGUGUGCUUCUACUGGGCCUCCUUCGUUUCUUUCAAGAAAA
rnacentral:misc_RNA from 1 species